CCCCUGGGCUGGCCAGGCCCAUCAGGGCUUGUGGAAUGGGAAGAAGGGAUCCUUCCCCUUCUGCAGGCUUGCUGGGUGCGGCUGAACCCCUCGUGCGCUCACCCACUC
rnacentral:pre_miRNA from 1 species